GCCACCGCGGAGGCCUCGCGGCCGGAGCUGUGGCCCAGCCGCCCUGCCCUCUGGGGGUGUACGGGCUGCGGCACCUUCUGGAAGGCCGGGCCCGCUGCGCUGACGUAGGCUGAGGGGAGCGGCCGCGGCCCCGGAAGGCUUUGGUGGAGAAGACUUCGGUCCUUAAAUUAGUCCGGGCGUCCCCUCUGCGGCCAGACCCCAGGCCUUCCCCAUCGCUCCCUCCAUCUUCGUUCCAGGCCUGUGCGGAGCGGCGGGGACAGACCGGGACGUGCAGCCUCCCGGCGCCGGGCGCCCACGGGCUGUGCUGCGAGGCCGGGUCCCGGCGUUCCCGCGGGGCGGACGAACAGCCAGGCCUCCCCGCUCCCCGCAGCCCCGAGCUAGGUACCAGCACAAUCCGGUGAUCCCCGCCUGGGCCCAGCCUCCGCAGGCUUCCGAACUGGAAUUGAGCAGCUACCCUACCCAGGAGUAGUACCUUAGGUAUUGGGAAGUUUCAGAUGGACUGAUUUUAUUAAAGGAUUUUUUUAAAA